rnacentral:rRNA from 1 species
GAUGAACGCUGGCGGCGUGCCUAAUACAUGCAAGUCGAGCGAAGCGGGGACGGGUGAGUAAUACGUGGAUAACCUCCUAUAAGACUGGGAUAACUUAGGGAAACCGGAGCUAAAUCGGACACUCAUAGAUGGAUCCGCGGUGCAUUAGCUAGUUGGUAAGGUAACGGCCUACCAAGGCAACGAUGCAUAGCCGACCUGAGAGGAUGAUCAGCCACACUGGAACUGAGACACGGUCCAGACUCCUACGAGAGGCAGCAGUAGGGAAUCUGGCGCAAUGGGCGAAAUCCUGAAGAAGCAACGCCGCGUGAGUGAUGAAGGUCUUCGGAUCGUAAAGCUCUUUUAUUAGGGAGGCGGUACCUGUUCAGAAAGCCCCGGCUAACUGCGUGCCAGCAGCCGCGGUAAUUC